GAUCGUGAGAAGCCAGGAGGGGACUCCUUCCCUCACAAAACCCUAAAUCACUAAAUUCCCUCAAUUGAAAGCUAGAUUAUUGAAGAAUCGAAUGCAUGACCUAAGAAUCUUGAUUAUCUAAGUGUUCUUGACCUCAAGCACAAAGAAGGAAGAAGGCGCAAGUCACUCAAAGGCACAAGCAUCCCAAGAUCGCGGUAAAUCCCUUGCUUGAUUGCGGCGCACCCGGACCGAACACACACACGUUAUGUCGACCUUAUGCGCUUCCGGUCCAAGUUGUUGUUUGAUGGGU